GACGAACGCUGGCGGCGUGCUUAACACAUGCAAGUCGAACGGAAAGGCCUCUUUCGGGGGGUACUCGAGUGGCGAACGGGUGAGUAACACGUGAGUAACCUGCCCUUGACUUUGGGGUAACUUCAGGAAACUGGGGCUAAUACCGGCUAGGAGCUCCUGCUGCAUGGUGGGGGUUGGAAAGUUUCGGCGGUUGGGGGUGGGCUCGCGGCUUAUCAGCUUGUUGGUGGGGUAGUGGCUUACCAAGGCUUUGACGGGUAGCCGGCCUGAGAGGGUGACCGGCCACAUUGGGACUGAGAUGAGGCCCCGACGGCGACGGGAGGAAGCAGGGGGGAAUCUUGAACAAGGGGUGGAAGCCGGAUGCAGCAACGCCGUGGGCGGGAUGACGGUCUUCGGGUUGUAAAACGCUUUCGCUCAUGACGAAGCGUUGUGUGACGGUAGUGGGUAAAGAAGCACCGGCUAACUACGUG
rnacentral:rRNA from 1 species